rnacentral:rRNA from 1 species
GGUAACACUGAAUGGAGGACCGAACCGACUUACGUUGAAAAGUGAGCGGAUGAACUGAGGGUAGCGGAGAAAUUCCAAUCGAACCUGGAGAUAGCUGGUUCUCUCCGAAAUAGCUUUAGGGCUAGCCUCAAGUGAUGAUUAUUGGAGGUAGAGCACUGUUUGGACGAGGGGCCCCUCUCGGGUUACCGAAUUCAGACAAACUCCGAAUGCCAAUUAAUUUAACUUGGGAGUCAGAACAUGGGUGAUAAGGUCCGUGUUCGAAAGGGAAACAGCCCAGACCACCAGCUAAGGUCCCAAAAUAUAUGUUAAGUGGAAAAGGAUGUGGCGUUGCCCAGACAACUAGGAUGUUGGCUUAGAAGCAGCCAUCAUUUAAAGAGUGCGUAAUAGCUCACUAGUCGAGUGACACUGCGCCGAAAAUGUACCGGGGCUAAACAUAUUACCGAAGCUGUGGAUUGUCCUUUGGACAAUGGUAGGAGAGCGUUCUAAGGGCGUUGAAGCAUGAUCGUAAGGACAUGUGGAGCGCUUAGAAGUGAGAAUGCCGGUGUGAGUAGCGAAAGACGGGUGAGAAUCCCGUCCACCGAUUGACUAAGGUUUCCAGAGGAAGGCUCGUCCGCUCUGGGUUAGUCGGGUCCUAAGCUGAGGCCGACAGGCGUAGGCGAUGGAUAACAGGUUGAUAUUCCUGUACCACCUAUAAUCGUUUUAAUCGAUGGGGGGACGCAGUAGGAUAGGCGAAGCGUGCGAUUGGAUUGCACGUCUAAGCAGUAAGGCUGAGUAUUAGGCAAAUCCGGUACUCG